rnacentral:rRNA from 1 species
GUCUACGGCCAUGCCACCCUUAAUGUGCCAGAUCUCAGUUGAUCUUGGAAGCUAAGCAGGGUCAGGCCUGGUUAGCACUUGGAUGAGAGACCACCUAGGAAUACCGGGUGCUGUAGGCG